rnacentral:SRP_RNA from 1 species
UGCUUCUGAUAAAGCCUGCGUAGCUGCCCUUUAUAAGUAGCGUUGACGUCUGGGUCCCGCGCAAUGGGAACUGCGAACCGUGUCAGGAUGGGAACAUAGCAGCACUAAGCAGAUCCUCCCAUGUGCCGUGGGGUUACCUGGGCCGAGCCGGCUGUAGAGGUAACGUACGUGGGCCUUAUCAGGAGCA